GUGCCGCCGGUGAGAUGUCAACCUAGGUUUGACGGCUUAACAGGUGGUAUUCUUGUCGGUAGCUUGUCUGGAGGUACAGAAAUUGUCUUGGCUGGCCAUGAGUUCAGUAGUGAGUUUGACAUCAAUAGCGACGGCGUCAGGAACAAAGUAUUCCUCUCCAAUGAUUAUACUACAAUACCCUGUGACGUUAACCCGUACACUAGUACAACCAGUCGACUCGUCUGCGAAACCAGGCCUGGUGAAGCGGGCCUUUUCAAUGUGCAUGUGGAAGUAGAUGGAAAAGUAAUUCCAGAAUGUACCGCCGCGUAUACUCGACGUUGCCAAUUUGAGUAUAGAGGUCCUGGGAGAUUGGGGAUACUGACAAAGGUUCUCUCUUAUUCAGGCCCAGUUGGCUCAGUAACGACGAUUCUGGGAAGGUUUUACACAAACGUUUAUGAAAGC